CAAUUUUUAUAAAUAAUGUUAAUUGACGUUAAAAGUAACCUUUUACUUAACUUAAAAUGGAAAAAAUUAAUAAAUAUAAGAAAAACAACACCUUAGAAACAAUAAUGUGGCUUUAUUUACCUAUAAUAUAUUUUUAUAGAUUAAAAACGAUUGCAAAUGUAUUAAACUAUGCUGAAAGUUGGAAACUUCAUGGCGACUUUGUACCACGUGACCAUAAGAACCAAUCACAGUUAACUCGCCAUUGUCCACACUGUAGUUAAUAUAGUCACUGUAGUGUCGACUAAGGUCACUCUGUGUUCCUAUAGAGAAGUAUGGACAUAACCUUGAAUACCACCAUGUUUGAGACAUCUAGUCUAACGCGAAGGUUAGAUAUAGAUACCGAUUCAGAUCAGAAUUCCGUUUUUCCCGUUAUAUUAUACAUAAUUAAAAUUGAUACGAAGGUAGCAAUCAUAUUGGUUA
rnacentral:lncRNA from 1 species